CAGAAAUCUUGUUCCAGAAGAAUUCCCACAAAGAGGAUUCCUUGAAGAUGUUGUAAUGGCAGCAAAAACAGAAUCGAGAGAACAGCUAGAGAAGGAGUUUAAGUCUCAGUUUUCAUAUAAGAGAUAACUAAGUUUUGAAUCUGUGGUCCCUGGCUGAGUUGAUGAACCCCUUUGCUAAGAAGAUCCUGUCUUAGGCAAUUAUGGAGGCUGGAAGCUCUUUAUUUUUCGAGAAAUGACCUGAAAGUCACCAGGAACCACAAGCUAACCUCACUAUCCCUUGCCUACAAUGGCAUUGUGUGUACAUAUAAUUUUCACUUGGUAAACUGAAAGUGUUGUCUGAUCUAUUUAGAAGUGUUUGUUAAACAUCAAGCUCCUUUUUCUGGCUGAUAAUCUUGUAGACACUAGCCUGUGCAUGGAUUCUUGCUGCAAAAUGUUAGAAAAUUUUGUUUUAUUAUUCUUGAAAA